AUUGAACGCUGGCGGCAUGCCUUACACAUGCGAGUCGAACGGUAACAGGUUAAGCUGCCGAGUGGCGAACGGGUGAGUAAUGUAUCGGAACGUGCCCAGUCGUGGGGGAUAACUGCUCGAAAGAGCAGCUAAUACCGCAUACGACCUGAGGGUGAAAGCGGGGGAUCGCAAGACCUCGCGCGAUUGGAGCGGCCGAUAUCAGAUUAGGUAGUUGGUGAGGUAAAGGCUCACCAAGCCGACGAUCUGUAGCUGGUCUGAGAGGACGACCAGCCACACUGGGACUGAGACACGGCCCAGACUCCUACGGGAGGCAGCAGUGGGGAAUUUUGGACAAUGGGCGCAAGCCUGAUCCAGCCAGGCCGCGUGCGGGAAGAAGGCCUUCGGGUUGUAAACCGCUUUUGUCAGGGAAGAAAAGGUUCUGGCUAAUACCUGGGACUCAUGACGGUACCUGAAGAAUAAGCACCGGCUAACUACGU
rnacentral:rRNA from 1 species